UUUGAAAGACGAUUGGUGUUAGACGUGUCAGAAAAUAUUUUAUACGAAAAAAAAACAAAAUAUUCGAUGAUUUAAUUGAAUAAUUAUUAAGAAGAUAAAAGGAUCACGAGCAUACCACAUCAAUUUAUUUUUAAAUUUCGGACGACAAAAUUAAUUUUUCAACUAAUUUUUAUUUUCCUGUUGUUUGGAUCGCCGAUUCCUCUGUGAAUCGGCGCUGUCCACGAGCAAAAAAAAAAAAAAAGAGGAAAACUCCAAUCUCAAAUUAUCUGUAUUGGUCCCAAAUUUCCUUAGACAUCAAUCCCCUAAUUAUUAGAUAAUCGGUUCCAAAGACCAAUUGAUGCCUUUUAAAGGCGGAUAUUGAGAUUUUUGACUCUACUAAUAUCAAGACAGGAGUCUUCUAAUCGAUGGUUUGAUUAGAGCUCAAUGAACCCAAAAUUAACCUAAAACCCUGACUUGUCAAAUCAAUACAUCAAAUGCUAGAGUCUUCCCGUCCAUAGUUUUAUUGGAGCCCAAUGGACACAGCAUUUCCCUAUUACCGAAUUGUGUCAAUUAAAGAAUUCUGGGGAUUCUCAUUCUUUUUCAAUUGGAGAUAAAACAAGAAUUAUUUAUAGUA